rnacentral:lncRNA from 1 species
UAUCCAUAUUAUAUUGCAUAAAUCACUCAUGCAUUCACAUUUUAGGCUUCUAAAGUCAAUUAGAAAUUCUUACAAAAUUCUUUCUAACUCGUAGGGACUCGAUUAAAGAAGAUCUCAAUUAUGAUGCUCAAUUUGACAGAGAAAGAUUGAAUAUGAGUAUCAAACACGAGUGUUAAUAAGGAAAAAUGAGUCAUAGAACAGAGAAACUAGCUCAAUUUCGUUUACGGAUAUGUUCCACCAGGCACGAUUCCAUUCAUUACUUUUUAGCUGCUCUGUUGUAUCAAGGUUCAUUAAACAACAACAAGGUGGAUUUAAGGACGAAUCUUUUUGAAGAAGGGGGGGAUGACAUGACUGUGUGAAGGCCUUCAAGAUAUCUCGCAAACGGUAAUCAAAGUUUGCACCAACCUGAAGAUAAAACUCGAAAGAAGCCCCAACCAAGAAAGCAGAGCCAAAACCCAAAAGUAAAGCCCGGUCCAUCAAGAC